UACGUAGGGUGCGAGCGUUGUCCGGAAUUAUUGGGCGUAAAGGGCUCGUAGGCGGUUUGUCGCGUCGGGAGUGAAAACCUCGGGCUUAACUCGGGGCUUGCUUUCGAUACGGGCAGACUAGAGGUAUGCAGGGGAGAACGGAAUUCCUGGUGUAGCGGUGAAAUGCGCAGAUAUCAGGAAGAACACCCGUGGCUAAGGCGGUUCUCUAGUACGGUACUGACGCUGAGACGCGAAAGCGUGGGGAGCGAACAGG
rnacentral:rRNA from 1 species